UAAGACUAAGACAAGCUGUCCGGCAGUAAAUUUAGAGCGUCGACCCUGCCCUGCCCGCCGGCAUGGUUCGCCAUCGCAGGCAUCACUUUCCCGUCCAGCUCGCACUCACCGGCUGCCUCUCCCGCGACCCGCUACACAACUACGGGGCUCCUGCUUCCAUGAAAACGCAAUAUAAUUUAUAUUCACCAAGAAGCAACAGAAGUAAGAUCACUACAUUAAAUCCUAGUAUGAUGAACCAUUUAUGCCGAGAUACAUACGGAGCAACACAUAGGUUAAAGUUAAAUCUAGCAAUAUAGUACACUUGGUAUCGGGUAAACCAUAGAUUAAACAAUGUGGUAGAUAGUUGUUUACCUGAAUGCUGACAGAAGUAUACCAAGUAACAAAGCUAGUUACUGGCAAAGCUCAAUGCCUCCAAACCAAAGUUUAACAACUAAUAUGAAAUGUCUCCGAAUCAAGCUAGUUGUGGCCAAACUUUGGAACCUGAAAAAAUGGAGUGGAAAACAAAAUUAGGAAAUGCAAGAGAAAGAAAGUAACAUAGGAUAAAAUUACCUCAUUGCUCCAAACAUAUACAGUACUACUAAGAAAUCUCCUUAUUAGUUAAUUUUAUAGAAUUAGCCCAUUGAUGAGAUAAAGAUACUAAAUAUAGUUAUUUCUUACAACAAUCUAUGGAAGAUUAGUAUUACACCAAAUGUUGCCAAGAAACAUAUACACCGGGAGAAAUGGUUUUGUUUUAGAGAACUAACCGAACAAAGAGACUUCAACUAAUAAAGUAGCACAUAAUCCGUGAUGUAAUCCGCAGCCACACACUUAUGCCACCUUAGCUCUACCCUAUUAGUGAAAUAAAAGAUGACAUAUUUUUAAACUUAAUUAUUAUCACAUCAACAAACAAAAAAAACAAAAGUAAUUUACUACUCCCUCCAUCCCAAAAUAAGAGUCGCUGAAACUCAUCAUGCAACGGAGGGAGUACUAUAGUUUAGCACGUUUCUCUUUCACAAGUAUAGAAGUUGAAUAAUGCACAGCAAUCUGAAAUCCUUCACUUACAAAGAAAGAGGGAAGACAUAAUACAUGCUUGUUAGCUCACCCAUACACAGAUGAGUCAGUGAUGAAGUGGAUUGCCAAAAAGAACAUACGGGGAAUAAUCAUAUCCAUGUGUGGCAUACUCAGCUCCACCCUUUCUCAUCACUAUCUUUGGUCACUAUAUUUGCUAGCACCACACCAAAAGUAUGAAAUUCCUCACGUUGAAUACCUAUAAACAAAAGGAGAAAUAGGAGGUUAUGUCAGCGACCAAUCGAAAUCAUCGAAACUUCAGCACAUCAGUUCAAUGUGUUGUAGAUAUUUGAUUAAUGGAUGCAAUCAACUUAUGCAUAUUUCUUCAUCUUCUGAUUCAGGGGUGCAGGUCCUGGAUAGAUUCUGUGGUGCGCCUCUAUGGUCAAUGCAAGCUGCGGGGAAAGAAAAGUUGAGAUGUGAUAUCUUCAGACCAAGAACUACAGUUACAGGUUCAGAUUUGCUUCAAAUCAUUUAGGCGCAACCAAGAAUACCGAGAUUAAAUGUUCGCUUGUAGCCCUUGAUGAAUCUCAGGAUCUUCUCGUUGAAAUCGAAGCCGGGGUUCCAGAUCAGGGAUCCAUACCCGAAGACCCGCACCACCAUCUUGUUGUUUGUUUCCCCUGCAGACAACAACAAACUGAGCACAAGAAGCCAUUCCCCUUCCUCGAACAACAAUGUCAACAUCGCCCCCAAACCAAAAGCCCCAAAACAGUUCAACAAAAUCCCCUCAAAAAGGUACGGGUAGGGGUAGGUGGAUUCGGUUACCUAGCACACUAGAAAGAAUGCCGCUGGUGGGUCGGCGGCGCGCUGGGAGGAGCAUGAUGGGGAUUUGGCUCCCCUUAUCUCACCCGCGUCUCCUCUCCUCCGCCUGCAGUCUUCUCUCGUUGGAUGGAUAGAUAGGGGUUUCUGGUCGGAGAGGGGGGAGAAGAAGACAGUGGCCUUCUCUCAUCUCCUCCGCCAUGGUCUCCUCUCCCCAGUUCACGCCCACGCCCAUCGGCUCCCUUGUGGCGCUUGUCCUUGCUGCCCGCGCCGCAGCCGCGGCCACGCCCUGCCAAGAUGAUACAAUAAUAAGAAACCAGGGGGUGAAUCAUUAUCCUUUAGCAUGGACACCAUGAUGUUUCAGCGUCUUGUGAUUGCAUUGAACAGGAAAGAACCUUCUUAGCAAAGGUGCAUCACUAUUACCUUCGGCGGAGCGAAUAUUGCCACAGAACAACACUCAUGGUGCAAGAUAGAAAUAUUAUUAAACGGUAAGCUAGUUCAAGUGAUCAUGAAUAGCAAGGGAAACGGCGUGUUUUAGCACUGAUAUUAUAUAGUUGAAAUCUCAGUGCACAUCACAUAUAUAUUUUCUAGCAAUACCAAGCUUGAUCUCAAAUAGAACAUAUCCACAUUACCCUCAGGAUAACUGAACAACAAUACCUGACUAUGGGUCACCCAGUUGAAUCCAUCCAUCUUGGCACCAAAAUUGAAAGUUCCAAGUAGCUCCAGCUUGCCAAAUAAAAACUGAAUGAUUAUGAUUUAUGCACCUAGGUGAUAUCCCUCUGCAGAUCAUGAUCGUUAUACUGUACCUGUUGCCAACUUUGCUAGCCACAUCAUAGAAAUUAACACCUAAAGGGUUGAAGCACAAAAUAUUCAGUACUUACUAUGAGUAAAGGAAAAUCAUAAGAAAUUAUAUCUAUGGACUUGCAAAGACAAUCAAGAGCAACGACUGAUGUGAAAGCUUACACUGGGUGUAUAUACGACUCAUCUUUUUCCACCAAAUUGUCAGUGAUAGCACAAACAUUUCUAAUUUGGAACUAACUGGACAGAAAAAUAGGAUGCAAAUUUAUGUCCUCUUGCAUGAAACAUAUUGUUACAGCUGCAAAAAUCAUGUCAUAGAAUAGAAGCUACCAUUAAUCAUGUUAGUGCAAGAGGCCACAAACAUGCUACCUAGAUACACCCUUUGGAUCACCCUGGUAGCAGCCAAGCCCUCUGCCGUUCCGCCAGAAGGAGACGGGAUUCUUAGAUCUUUUAUGCUUCUGAAAAAAAACAUAAAAGGUCGACAGAUCAAACCAUCAUAUAUAUGACCAUUUCAGUUUCAAUAAUUUAUUGAUUCUCUUAAAAUUAAAUGAUGUCUCGUCAUCUUGUGUUUGCUUAAAUAUAUAAUUAAUAGCCAGGGAUUAGAGGCCGGGUGUAUAAAAAAAUUAAAGCUUGGCUCUUGCACAGUCAUUACCAGUUGCAUGGACAACAGUGGACAGAAAGCUAGAUAAGCAGGAUGCCGCUUUGCAAGCUUACUCGUGCAUCAAUGAACCGUUGAAGAAGUGAAAUCUAUCCACAUACCCAGGUCGCAAGCUUACUUGUGCAUCAAUGAACCAUUGAAGAAGUGAAAUCUAUCCACAUACCUAGGUCGCAAGCUUACUCCUGCAUCAAUGAACCGUUGAAGAAGUGAAAUCUAUCCACAUACCCAGGUCGCAAGCUUACUCGUGCAUCAAUGAACCGUUGAAGAAGUGAAAUCUCUCCACAUACCUAGGUCGCAAGCUUACUCCUGCAUCAAUGAACUGUUGAAGAAGUGAAAACUAUCCACAUACCCAGGUCGCUUUGCAAGCUUACUCGUGCAUCAAUAAACCGUUGAAGUAAUGAAAUAUAUACACAUACCAAGGUAUAUGACAGGAGCCUAGAGAGGCCAUCUAGUACUGUCACCAAGGGGAGAUCACUUCUUGUCGAGAUCGAUUGAGCCUCUUCUCGAGCUCCCGGGUCCCGAUGUGUCCUGUCUUCCUCAAUCUCACUGCACCAUUCCUCUCCCCUUGCGGCAUCCUCUCUGCUGCAUAAAUCAUAUAUUGCAUUUGCAGCAAUAUAAAUGCCAUUCUCAGUACUCCACAGCGUAUAGUAGUAAAAUAUCUAGCUGAUUCUCUAUGGUUCAUUUACUUGAGAACUGCUGACAGAAUUGAAUACUGGAGAGUAGCUAAAAUCGAAAGAAGAGAAGGAACAAGGAUGUACACGCCUGCUGGAAAGUACCUAAAACUGAAAGAAGAAAAGGAGCAAGGAUGUACGCACAUGUUAGGCUCCCUCUUCCCCAAGCUCGAACCUGCACCUUCUUCUCUCUACCUCUCCUCCUCCCUGAAUCUUCCUCUUUCUCUCUUUUCUACCAGGGAAAACUAAAGCCCCGCCAUGGCUUGGAGCUCUCCCUGCCAGCCAUGGAGACCCACCUCUACCUGCAAGGAAUUCACGCCGCCGCACCAGAUCACUCCGUCUCACGCGCCCGUCCGCCGUCGCUCAGGUCUGGGGAGCUCCUGCCUAGGUCGCUGGAUCCCUCGAUCCGGCCUUCAUCGUCGUCACCGACGACCCCCGCCUGGAUACCUCGCUCGGUGAGCCCCGCCUCGCCGCCCGCCUUCAGAUCAACCAGAUCCGUGGAGAAGGCCGGGGUGAGCUCCUCCAUGGAACCGACAACAUCGGUUGUGGCCACGGCCAGAUCCGUGGAGAACGACGACGGGAGGUCGGGGAGGAAGAAGAACGGUGACGGUGGAGGUCUCCCUUUGUCGAUCUAGGAGGAGAUCGAUGGAGGUUGAGGGUUGGCUGCAGCGAUGGAGAGGAGGGCGUCGAUGGUGGCCAUGGCCGAAUCACGGAGGACGGGCGGUGAUGGUGACGUCUUGUAGAGGAGGGCGGAGAGGGCAACAGCGUCGUCGUGAGGUGGAGAGCCAGAUCGGGGAUUGGGGUGCGGCGGCGGGUGCGGCUGGAGGCGGGGAGAGGAGGGGUAGCUAGGAGGCUGGAGGCGGGGAGGGACGGAGCCACGUUCGUGCGGGCAAGCGCAUCGAGCGCAUCGAGGGCACGAGGGAUCGAUCCCAGGGACGAAAAAACGGAGGUGGGAGGAUGACGAAAAUAAACCAGCGAAAAUAAACUGUCUCGGCUGAGCGGGAGGUGGGAGCAAGUACCAAAAAAGACCGGAUGAGGUGGGACGAAAAUAAAACCCGAAACGCGACCUACCAAAUCAUCAAUAUUUAGGCCCCAUUCGGCAAUGCGCCGGCUUGUUGAAAUCCGUGGAUCUGCGGCGCAUCGUUUCGCUCGCUCCAAGACUUCUCACUGCAGCUCCGUCCGCUCCCGGAGCGGAGCAGUGGAGCGGAUGGACACCGAACGGGGCCUUACACUCAGAAAACCCAUUCAUCACAAGAAAUUUCAGAAGCACUUAGUUAGAAUUCAGUACCACUUGUCAUUGACAUAUCAGAAGCACUUAGUUAAAAUUCAGUACCACUUGUCAUUGAAAUUCAGAAGCACUAAAAAUUCAUAUUCUGGCCAAGUGCUACUAUUGAUCUCGUUGCUAAACAAUACAAGAAGAUAAGCACGGAUGUAAGAAAAGGAAAGCAUUGGAACCUCUCUAACUUGGAAUGCAUGCUGCCAUCAGUACAUAUACAUGAUUGGGCUUUAUGUGGAAACAUGAGCAGAGAAGAUACUUCAGUUAUUUGAAAUCGAUGCGAGUCAAGGAUAUUUUUUAAAGUAGGAUAUGCCAAAUAAAUGAAAGGAUGCUGCAGAUAUGCACUUUUAUUAAGACUAAGACAAGCUGUCAGGCAGUACAUUUAGAGCGUCGACCCUGCCCUGCCCGCCGGCAUGGUUCGCCAUCGCAGGCAUCACUUUCCCGUCCAGCUCGCACUCACCGGCUGCCUCUCCCGCGACCCGCUAUACAACUACGGGGCUUCUGCUUCCAUGAAAACACAAUAUAAUUUAUAUUCACCAAGAAGCAACAGAAGUAAGAUCACUACAUUAAAUCCUAGUAUGAUAAACCAUUUAUGCCGAGAUACAUACGGAGCAACACAUAGGUUAAAGUUAAAUCUAGCAAUAUAGUACACUUGGCACCGGGUAAACCAUAGAUUAAACAAUGUGGUAGAUAGUUGUUUACUUGAAUGCUGACAGAAGUAUACCAAGUAACAAAGCUAGUUACUCGCAAAGCUCAAUGCCUCCAAACCAAAGUUUAACUCCUAAUAUGAAAUGUCUCCGAAUCAAGCUAGUUGUGGCCAAACUUUAGAACCUGAAAAAAUGGAGUGGAAAACAAAAUUAGGAAAUGCAAGAGAAAGAAAGUAACAUAGGAUAAAAUUACCUCAUUGCUCCAAACAUAUACAGUACUGCUACGAAAUCUCCU
rnacentral:lncRNA from 1 species